AGACCCGAAACCCGGUGAUCUAGCCAUGGGCAGGUUGAAGGUUGGGUAACACUAACUGGAGGACCGAACCGACUAAUGUUGAAAAAUUAGCGGAUGACCUGUGGCUGGGGGUGAAAGGCCAAUCAAACCGGGAGAUAGCUGGUUCUCCCCGAAAGCUAUUUAGGUAGCGCCUCGUGAACUCAUCUCCGGGGGUAGAGCACUGUUUCGGCUAGGGGGCCAUCCCGGCUUACCAACCCGAUGCAAACUGCGAAUACCGGAGAAUGUUAUCACGGGAGACACACGGCGGGUGCUAACGUCCGUCGUGAAGAGGGAAACAACCCAGACCGCCAGCUAAGGUCCCAAAGUCAUGGUUAAGUGGGAAACGAUGUGGGAAGGCCCAGACAGCCAGGAUGUUGGCUUAGAAGCAGCCAUCAUUUAAAGAAAGCGUAAUAGCUCACUGGUCGAGUCGGCCUGCGCG
rnacentral:rRNA from 1 species